UACGUAGGGACCGAGCGUUGUCCGGAAUCAUUGGGCGUAAAGAGCGUGUAGGCGGCUUGCUAAGUCUUGCGUGAAAUCUCGGGGCUCAACCCCGAGCGGUCGUGGGAAACUGGCAGGCUAGAGUGCGGGAGAGGAGAAUGGAAUUCCUGGUGUAGCGGUGAAAUGCGCAGAUAUCAGGAAGAACACCCGUGGCGAAGGCGGUUCUCUGGAACGCAACUGACGCUGAGACGCGAAAGCUAGGGGAGCGAACAGG
rnacentral:rRNA from 1 species